rnacentral:lncRNA from 1 species
GGAGGAGGAGGCUGACCACCACGAGGGCGGGCAGGCCUGAUGUGCCGCAAGGCUAGUGUGGGACUUGUGGCCAUGUGGGUACUACCAGUGACAGAGACGCAUGGUGGCUUCCAGGCUGGAGAUGAGGGAUUUGGCAGGUGACAGGGUCCAACAGUAAAUUCAUAGAUUAUCAUAAGGAGAGAGAAUCGGAAGGUAUACUAACUUUUUCCUAUUAGUUAAGCUUCCCUCCCCCUUUUUUCCCCUGAGCAACCUUAAGUGAUAAAAGGAUAUAUGAAACUAAUGGGGUAGCUCAGAGAAUUCACAGCAGAACUGAACAAUCCACUUCAGGAACCAACACAGAAGCCAGACCUGGAUAUGAGGUAGGCUAGAUUCUUCUGCUUUCUGUGAUGCUGCCGUUACCAUGCUGCCACGCCAAGGAUGUCCAGGCUCUCUCCCCAUUCAAGUGGCAGAUUCCUAAGAGAGAGAGUGUGAUUGGCUCAGGACCGAUCAGCCUGGCAUAGACAUGGAUACUUUGGACAUAUUUGGAAGCUGGAGAUGUCACCCCAACUGGGGUCUAGGACAGCGUUCUCAAGAGUUAGGUGGGCAGGAGGUGGCCCAAGGGCACAGGGCUUCAGCGAAGGCCUGGGAUUGGGAACUGGGCUUCAGGCUGCAGGAAGGCUGGGAGGGGCGACACGGGCCAGAGAAGGAGCAGGUCUGGAGGUGAGUAGCACAGAGCCUCGGCUCUCAAACCUCUCUGUCGAGAGACCUCUUUACACCCUUAAAAAUUAUUGAGGACCCAAAGGUGGUAGCCUAUAUCUAUCAAUAUUCACCUCAUUCGAAAUGAAGACAGAGACAUUUUAAAGAUACAAGAACACACAAGCACACAUUCUCUUAUUUGUUGGAGUGACGAUGUGACCAUUCUUCCAGCAGCUGGGGAGACGCCAGGCUACCCCCGAGUGUAUUGAAUGAAGAUGGCAAGUGACAUUUUAGUGUGACUUAGCAGGAGUUUUGACCUUGAAGACCCUCUGAAAGGGCCAUGCCUAGGCUCCCCAGACCACAUCUGGGGAGCCGUUGCCAUGGUGGCCCGGAACCUGCGCUUGAGAGCAAGACUGCCUAAGUUUAAAACUUGCUCUACUGUGGCUGCUCCUGCAGGCCUCUUAUUUGGUGCCUCCACAUCUUCAGCUGAAAAUGAGUUCAGUUGGAGCCCCCAGAACCCGGAGGCAGCUCUGCAACUGGCAGUGCACACAUCCCCCUGGGUGCCAGCUCCAGGGCCAGCUCACGGGGACGUGUGGAUCCAGCUUCCUUCCACUAAGAGCCAGUCGGGCUCAUCCAUCCAGGGCUGUUCCGAGGUUGGGGUGUGUAGGACAAACUUGCCAGCAGAUCCAAUUAAAGGAGCAAUGCUAGAUGCGCUGAUGCACACACAGGGGACAUGAAACCAUGCACUCGGCCUGUGUGUGCUGCCCUUGAAAACCGCCCUGAUGUGAUCAGGCGUUGCUUACUUGAAGAAUAACCACAGCAACACAUGGAUGAAAAGAGAAGAACGCUUUUUACAAAACUCUCCUGGGGACAGAAUGGUUGUGAGUGCAAGGGACAACUCCGAUGCAAAGUGGUUGUCUUCUCAAGCCACCUGGGGCCUCAUUGUCCUCCUCCUUGUUCCUCCCGGGACUCCACCCACUCCCACACAAGGCGCUCUGGGUUUCUUUCUUUAAUGCCGUAAUUUUCUUUUCUUUUCUUUUUUGAGACAAAGUCUCACUCUGUCACCAGUUUGGAGUGCUGUGGCACAAUCUGGGCUCACUGCAACCUCCACCUUCCGGGUUCAAGCGAUUCUGCUACCUCAGCCUCCCGCAAUGCCGUAAUUUUCAAUGUAGGGCCAUCCUUCCUCUUCAUCACCCCAGUGCUAUGGGCACAUAUUUACUGAGCAGUGGCAGCUCUUUCACCUAGAGAUGCACAGGGAGCAGCCCUGAGUCUAAUUUUCCUGCUGCGUCAGCCUUGCCUUUGCUAACCAGAGUGACAUUCUGGGUGGACCUUUGGGGCCCGCCCCCCAGUUUUUACCAUAGAGCCAGUUCUCAGCCACUGGCUCGCCUCUUACAGUCUUAGAAAUUUAGAGCUGAAGGAGCUGUGCAGGUCACCGCUUUCAACUCCUAGUUAUAGAGUUGAGGAACUAGGCUGGAAAGAGUGAAGGACUUUGUGACUAUUACGUGGACAGCAAGGAAGACGUUUCUGAACCUGUGACACCUGCUGGGAAGGAGGAACACAGGCACACGGCUCCAUGACUAUUCUCUCUUCCAGUGCCUUCUGCUCAACCCUGGAGCCCUGUGGACGGGGAAAAACGAUCUGCUUCUCAUAAAGUAAAAUGCUUUAGAAGCUCAGAGAAAGAGUCUUACCUAAAUAAAUAGAUGAAUAAAG